rnacentral:rRNA from 1 species
AUUGAACGCUGGCGGCAGGCUUAACACAUGCAAGUCGAACGAGUGGCUGACGGGUGAGUAAUGCUUGGGAAUUUAGCUUAUUGAGGGGGAUAACUACGGGAAACUGUAGCUAAUACCGCGUACCAUAUGAUGUGCCAAAGGUGGUUUAGGUAGUUGGUGAGGUAAAGGCUCACCAAGCCGACGAUGUAUAGCUAGUCUGAGAGGAUGACCAGCCACACUGGGACUGAGACACGGCCAAGACUCCUACGGUAGGCAGCAGUGGGGAAUAUUGCGCAAUGGGGGCAACCUGACGCAGCCAGGCCGCGUGAAUGAAGAAGGAAUUCGGGUUGUAAAGUUAUAUCGAUAGCGAGGCGUUAACUAGAGAAGAAGCACCGGCUAACUCCGUGCCAGCAGCAGCGGUAAUUC